GGGGCAGACAAAACGACAGGUCAAGGGCAGGUCGGUAAUCCAGGGCAGAGUCCGUAAGGUACAGAACAACGGGCAGGCUCAGGGUCAGGGCAGGCAGAGGUCAGUAAUCCAGGGCAGAGUCAGAAAGGUACAGAAUGGCAGGCAGGCUCAGGGCAGGCAGAGGUCAGUAAUCCAGGGCAGAGUCAGAAAGGUACAGAACGACAGGCAGGCUCAGGGUCAGGGCAGGCAGAGGUCAGUAAUCCAGGGCAGAGUCAGAAAGGUACAGAACGACAGGCAGGCUCAGGGUCAGGGCAGGCAGAGGUCAGUAAUCCAGGGCAGAGUCAGAAAGGUACAGAACGGCAGGCAGGCUCAGGGCAGGCAGUGGGCAGUAAUCCAGGGCAGUGUUAGAAAGGUACAGAACGGCAGGCAGGCUCAGGGUCAGGGCAGGCAGAGGUCAAAACUGGAAGAACUAGAAAAUAGGGACUAGAGAGAACAGGAGUACGGGGAAAACCACGCUGGUAGGCUUGACG
rnacentral:lncRNA from 1 species